AGGGAUAAACAGACAUAACAAGUUCAAAGGUCAGAGAGUCUACACAUUCAGGAUUUGUUUUAAAGAUACAUGUAUUUGAUAAACAUCUAAACAGAAAAUAAUUCAAAAUGAUCACAUUUCCAAUAGCUGUUUCUCCAGUUUAACUUUUAAAAAAAGAAUACAACGUCCUGGUGACGUCAUCACGUCACUCCCUCCCGGUGCGCUUUAAUCCAGAAAUAGCUUUUGUGUGAAUAUCAAAACCCCAGGAUGGAUGUGACAGCAGAGGCAGAAACACCGCGUGUGGACCCACGACGAACCGAGCCAGUUUGUGCUGAAAUCAAAAAUCCAUUGGGGCCAUGCGUGCAAAUUUUGACUGGAAAUGUGGUGAAUGGGGUAACUUCUGAUGAAGAGUCGGUCAGCACACGUCUACAGUCCUGACCUGAUGCUACAGGCUCACAGAGAAACUCUGCAGGCAGGUUAAAACAACACAGCAGCUUUCUGCUGCGCGGGAUCAGAGCAAAGUCAAAAUUGGAUGAAGACAACAGAAUGCAUCAAAGAUGUAACCUUACCAUGUGAUCUUGGCCAAAUUGCCAUCUGUGGGAGCUGCGAACAAGAUGGACUUCAAGCUGUAAGCCGGGUUGCCCGUUUUGCUUUGCUGUCAUUAAGGUUGAGGCUGACUGCAGGUGGAGACUGUGACCUACUCAUGUGUUCAAACAAGCACUCGAGGUGGAAAGCCAACAAGGGCUCUCAGCCCUGUUUUCACCACAGUGCCUUGUGUUGGCUGAUUGGGGCACCUGCAGCAUCAAGAUGGAGCCUGCAUGCUGCAACGCUUUGAUGAAGCAAAUAGCUGGCAGGAAGAUGAAAAAAAACAAACAUCAUUUAUGUUUUUCAGAGAAUUUUGGAUCCUGAAUUGUGACCUACAGCAAAUACCACGUUUUCUAACGUGCAAGAAGAUACACCACACCAGAAGUUUUGUCAAUUUUCUCUUAUUUAUUUCAAACUCAAUGCCUUGUAAAAGUAUUGACUGUAAUCCUUGAACUUUUAUUCAUGGAAAACCUCAUAUUUUUAAUGUGUUUUAGGUUCUUUACAUGCCAGGCCAACAUAUAAAAAUAAAAAACCUAC